rnacentral:RNase_P_RNA from 13 species
UUUUCUUUUUCUUUUUUCAAGUUCAAUCUAUUUUUUUCCUCUAUUUUUUUUUACAUCGAUGAACGCAAGAGAGAGGGAGAAGGUGGAGGUGAGAUGAGAAAAAAGAGAGAGGAAGGGAAAAGAGAAGAAUCUCUCUCUCUUUCGCUUUUUUCUCUCUUCUUUUUCAUCAAAAUCUCUAAAGAUCUUCUUCCAUCAUUUCACACAAUUCAUCAACAGUUGGAUUUGGAUAAAGUUU